GAUGAACGCUGGCGGCGUGCCUAAUACAUGCAAGUCGAGCGAACGGACGAGAAGCUUGCUUCUCUGAUGUUAGCGGCGGACGGGUGAGUAACACGUGGAUAACCUACCUAUAAGACUGGGAUAACUUCGGGAAACCGGAGCUAAUACCGGAUGAUAUUUUGAACCGCAUGGUUCAAAAGUGAAAGACGGUCUUGCUGUCACUUAUAGAUGGAUCCGCGCUGCAUUAGCUAGUUGGUAAGGUAACGGCUUACCAAGGCAACGAUGCAUAGCCGACCUGAGAGGGUGAUCGGCCACACUGGAACUGAGACACGGUCCAGACUCCUGCGGGAGGCAGCAGUAGGGAAUCUUCCGCAAUGGGCGAAAGCCUGACGGAGCAACGCCGCGUGAGUGAUGAAAGUCUUCGGAUCGUAAAACUCUGUUAUUAGGGAAGAACAUAUGUGUAAGUAACUGUGCACAUCUUGACGGUACCUAAUCAGAAAGCCACGGCUAACUACGUG
rnacentral:rRNA from 1 species